UACGUAGGGCGCAAGCGUUGUCCGGAAUUAUUGGGCGUAAAGAGCUCGUAGGCGGUCUGUCGCGUCGGAUGUGAAAGCCCGGGGCUUAACCGCGGGUCUGCAUUCGAUACGGGCAGACUAGAGUGUGGUAGGGGAGAUCGGAAUUCCUGGUGUAGCGGUGAAAUGCGCAGAUAUCAGGAGGAACACCGGUGGCGAAGGCGGUUCUCUGGGCCUGUACUGACGCUGAGGAACGAAAGCGUGGGGAGCGAACAGG
rnacentral:rRNA from 1 species